rfam:Picea glauca, whole genome shotgun sequence.
GAGAUCCUUAUGAUGGGAAACUAUCACGUUAGGUUUGGAGAGAGAAAUAUGGUCUGGGGAAGUAAGAGCAAGCUUGUCCAAAGAAUGGCCUUCCUGAAUGACUACGGGAUCAUCAAUCUACUCUAC